UCCCUUAGAUGUUCUGGGCCGCACGCGCGCUACACUGAUGCAUUCAACGAGUCUAAAACCUGCUCUGAUAGGGGUGGGUAAUCUUUUGAAUGUGCAUCGUGAUUGGGAUAGAUGAUUGCAAUUUUUCAUCUUCAACGAGGAAUGCCUAGUAAACGCAAGUCAUCAGCUUGCAUUGAUUACGUCCCUGCCCUUUGUACACACCGCCCGUCGCUCCUACCGAUUGAAUGAUCCGAUGAAUAUCAUGGAUUGAGGAUGCAAGCAGGUUCGCCUGUCUUCAUCUUCGAGAAGUGAAGUAAAUCUUAUCAUUUAGAGGAAGGAGAAGUCGUAACA
rnacentral:rRNA from 1 species